AAAACGCCCCGUUUUUGCCGCAAGGCUUAAAAAUGGGUUCAAUACCCAAAACCGUGUCUACCUACCUUUGUUGCUUUGGCAGGCCGCCUUCGGGCGUCGGCUCCGGCUGAUUAGCGCCUGCCAGAGGCCCCAAACUCUGUGUUUAGUGAUGUCUGAGUACUAUAAAAUAUUUA
rnacentral:misc_RNA from 1 species